rnacentral:rRNA from 1 species
GAUGAACGCUGGCGGCGUGCCUAAUACAUGCAAGUCGAGCGAACAGACGAGGAGCUUGCUCCUCUGACGUUAGCGGCGGACGGGUGAGUAACACGUGGAUAACCUACCUAUAAGACUGGGAUAACUUCGGGAAACCGGAGCUAAUACCGGAUAAUAUAUUGAACCGCAUGGUUCAAUAGUGAAAGACGGUUUUGCUGUCACUUCUAGAUGGAUCCGCGCCGCAUUAGCUAGUUGGUAAGGUAACGGCUUACCAAGGCAACGAUGCGUAGCCGACCUGAGAGAGUGAUCGGCCACACUGGAACUGAGACACGGUCCAGACUCCUACGGGAGGCAGCAGUAGGGAAUCUUCCGCAAUGGUCGAAAGCCUGACGGAGCAACGCCGCGUGAGUGAUGAAGGUCUUCGGAUCGUAAAACUCUGUUAUUAGGGAAGAACAAAUGUGUAAGUAACUAUGCACGUCUUGACGGUACCUAAUCAGAAAGCCACGGCUAACUACGUG